ensembl:lncRNA
AUUUCCGCUCGCAAUUUGCCGCCCAGCAGGGCAUUCUGGGAUUACGGGGUCCCCCAAACUGUCAUGGCGUCCUAGGAAGAUGGCGACUGCCAUACAACAGGCUUUCCUGGAGUAUCUAAUAAUUUAAAUUCAAGGCAUUGGCGACAUAGCUAGUGACAGAGGGCCAAGAGAACGGUGGACUGACUGCCAGGGGCCAGCGAUUUUUAGGCCAUCAAUCACCCCCACAGAGCUGAUAAAAUGGAGUGUGCAGUUGACACACAGCCAGGCGGGGACGAGGCUGCAGAGCAAGAACACACUCUGGAGGAAACAUCUGCAAAGGAAGGAAGUGAGACGCCGCAGAAGAAGAACAAGAAGCACAAAAAACACAAGAGCAAGAAGAAGAAGAAGAAACGUGGCAAGGGAGAGCGAGAGACGAGCUCAGAGUCGGCCCCAGAGUCCGACGUAGAAAAGCCGCCAGUCAGAACCAGGGCAGGCUUGAGGAGUGCUGGCCCAGUGGCCUCCGAUACAGGAGUAGACACGAAAGAGGAGGCAACAAAGGACUUGAUCACAGCUAUACCUGAGGUAGAAGGUGACGCUAAAGCCAGAAAACACAAAAGACAUGCUGGGAAAAAGAAGAGAAAAAGGAGGAGAAAAGGGGAAGAAAAGCAGGAGAAGAACUCUUCUUCACACUCCCUAUCAGAGAGCGAAUCUAUGUCAGGAACAGAUUCUGAGUCUGAGGGGAAGCCAGCUGGCAUGGUAGUGCAGGCUGUUCCCAUGCAGUCUAAGGCCAGGCAAGAGGAGCGAGUUCCCUCCCUAUGCAUCACUUUGGCCCAAAAAGAGGAAUCUCUGAAAGUGAUGUGUCAACCCUCAGAUAAUGAGUCUGCGGAUGCAGGAGGAAAGACUGAAGAGAAGGUUUCCCCUGCUAACAGGGAGAACCAAACCAUCUCUGUCACAAAACCGGAAGAUCCACGGAGCGACAGGAGCUUCAGCCACACCCAGGAGCUUCCUGACAUCAUCCCCAAGCAGGAUGGCCAGAAGGAGGAAACCAAACCAGAGCAGAGGUCAAAGGUGAAGAACCAGGCUCCCUCCAGGUCAAGGUCAGGGUCGCUGACAGACACUAAGAUGGCUAGAUCAAGUCUUAGUCGUUCGCCAAGCCCUAAGCGGUCCAGAUCAAGUCGCAGUCGUUCACGAAGCCCCGCGGGAUUGUCUAGUCAGCCUGUGUCUGGCAGGGGCAGGUCUCGAUCUGGCUCAAAAAGCAUGACUCCCAAGAGGAAGCAGUCCAAGUCCCCCAAAAGGACAAGACGCAAGUCCCCAUCUCUGUCCCCCAGGACAAGACGCAAGUCCCCAUCUCUGUCCCCCAGGACAAGACGCAAGUCCCCAUCUCUGUCCCCCAUGACAGGACGCAAGUCCCCAUCUCUUCCCCCAGGAGAGACGCAAGUCCCCAUCUCUGUCCCCCAGGAGAGGACGCAAGUCCCCAUCUCGGUCCCCCAGGAGAGGACGCAAGUCCCAUCUCUGUCCCCCAGGAGAGACGCAAGUCCCCACCUGUCCCCAGGAGAGGACGCAAGUCCCCACUCGGUCCCCCAGGAGGAAGGAACGCAAGUCCCACUCUGUCCCCCAGGAAAGGACGCAUGUCUCCAAAGAGGGGACGCAAGUCCCCUUCUGUCCCCUAAGAGACGACGUAUGUCCCCUCUGUCACCCUGGAGAGGACGCAAGUCUCCUUCUCUGUCCCCUAGACGAGGGCGCAAGUUGUCUCCUCUGUCCCCUAGACGAGGGCGCAAGUUGUCUCUCUGUCCCCUAACGAGGCGCAAGUUGUCUCCUCUGUCCCCUAGACGAGGGCGUA